AAGUCGUAACAAGGUUUCCGUAGGUGAACCUGCGGAAGGAUCAUUAAUAAUCUGCGAGCAAUCGCUUUAUUAAAUCUUUUAACACCUGUGAACUAUUGGCCCUCGGGCUAAAACAUAUAAACAUAAUGUAAUGAAUGUAAACUAUUAUAACAAUAAUACAA
rnacentral:misc_RNA from 1 species